rnacentral:rRNA from 1 species
UACGUAUGGUGCAAGCGUUGUCCGGAAUUAUUGGGCGUAAAGAGCUCGUAGGCGGUUUGUUGCGUCGGCUGUGAAAUCCCGAGGCUCAACCUCGGGUCUGCAGUCGAUACGAGCAAACUAGAGUGUUGCAGGGGAGACUGGAAUUCCUGGUGUAGCGGUGAAAUGCGCAGAUAUCAGGAGGAACGCCGGUGGCGAAGGCGGGUCUCUGGGCAACAACUGACGCUGAGGAGCGAAAGCGUGGGGAGCGAACAGG